AGGUGUGCCGGCUCGGCGUGCGCGCACGGCCGCUCGACCACGACGCGCCGCUCAAGCCCGGGAAGCUCUACUUCCUCGUCGAGAUCCCGCGCGGCGGCCGCGGCGGCACCAUCCGUUCCACUCGUCCGGCCACUCAUCCCGUCAUCCGCCAUGGCGGCCUCCUUCCUCCGCCCCCUACUCCCCCCAAACCCAUCCUCUCCGCCCGCUGGCCUCACCUCCCCGCUGCCCCCGCCAUCAGCACCACCACCGUUCGCUGCACCGCCGCGCCAAAACCGGCAACCUCCACGCCGAAACCCAGCCAAGAGGAGGCCGUCAGCCGAGAACUGCAGCAAGUGCCGCAAGAACCCAGCGAGCGGCCACUCCGGACGAGGCGAACGCCAAUCCCAACACAUCCCCGACAAGGAGACCCCGGCGGCGGCGGAGGCGACCACCUCCUUCGCGGUGGCGCGGCGGGUGCCGUCCGCCAUCUCCCCGGACCGGCGGCGGCGGACGGCGCUGACCGGCGGCGACCACCUCCUUCGUGGUGGCGCACCAAGGAGCUGCCCCUGGAGAAGCGCCGCCGCCCGUACGGCGCCGAAGAUGGUGGCGGCGCUCGCCUUCCUGCCGAGGCAGAGUACCCGGGGCUCUUGGCGGGCGCGCGGGCCUCGUGCCCGCACGGCGGCGGGGUCGCGGACGCCGGCCACCGGUACGUGUUCUAGCUGCCGUCGGACACCUUGGCCCACGCGGCCGCGCCCGCGGCGCCGGACCUCCUCUUCUCCGGCGCGGACGCCGGCGGACCUCGCCCUGCUAGUCUCCAGGGAGUAGGCCGGGCUCUGGAACGCGACCGCGAGCGUUCGCGUCGUCGUAGUGGCGCUCCCGCAGGAAGCCGCGGCUUCGAUGGCGACGGCAUUGUGCUGCGGUGGGCGCGACCGCUCGGUAGAGGCGGGCGGCCUCGAGGCAAGGACCGACGCGGAGGAGAUGGAGGUGGGUUUGGGGAAGGUUUUAAAUCUCCCGCUAUAGCUAUUUGAGAUCGACUGCUCCCGAGGGAAUGGCCCAAUUGCUACUUUUGUCAACUUUGUUGGAGGAACCUAGAAACUGCAGUGCACCUAUUUUCUGAAUGCCCGACCACUCGUGCCAUUUGGAGUAGCAUCAGUUCUUGGUGCUCCUGGACAGCGAUGAACCCGUCAUGCUGGAGGGCUACGGAUGAUCUGGAGGUCUGGUUUUUUGAGCUGAUGGGUACCUCCAACAGUCCUGCAGCGAAAGGUGCUCGUUCUUUGGCAAUUUUGGUCACCUAGACCAUCUGGUGCGAACGCAAUCGCCAAGUUUUUAAUGAGGAAGUGAAGUCAACAGCAAGAAUCAUCGAUGAAAUUAAAGAGGCCUCUAGGCUGUGGAUUUCAGCUAGUGCUAAACACUUGGCCUUUCUAGUAGAUCGUCACAUAAGCGAGUAAGAUGUAAUUUUUCCUUCUUCUCUGGUCGUGGAGCUAUUCCGAUGCUCCAGCCUAGUUCGUUUCAGACUAGGUCUUUUGGCGCCUUUGGCAUCUGUAUUGCUACUCUUCCUUAUUAAUUAAAGCCAGGAAGCUGUCCUGGAUUUUUUGGGGAAAAAAAGAACGUGUUUGACAA